GAUCCUGGCUCAGUGGUAGAGCACUUACCUAGCACGUGUGAGGUCCUGGUUUCGAUCCUCAGCAUCA
rnacentral:tRNA from 1 species